AUACGGAGGGUGCAAGCGUUGUUCGGAAUUAUUGGGCGUAAAGAGCAUGUAGGCGGUCUGUUAAGUCUGGUGUGAAAGCCCGGGGCUCAACCCCGGAAGUGCAUUGGAUACUGGCAGACUUGAGUAUGGGAGAGGAAAGUGGAAUUCCGAGUGUAGGAGUGAAAUCCGUAGAUAUUCGGAGGAACACCAGUGGCGAAGGCGGCUUUCUGGACCAAUACUGACGCUGAGAUGCGAAAGCGUGGGGAGCGAACAGGAUUAGAAACCCUAGUAGUCC
rnacentral:rRNA from 1 species